rnacentral:other from 1 species
CGCUCUCUGCGGUGUUCGCCAGCAGGAACGUAAUAUGCCUUGUCCCUACUUAUCGACCUCGGGAUGGCGACUUUUCAGCUGGUGUGCAGUCCGCCGAACAAGCGAAUUGCCUGAAGGCUGGAAGAGCCAACCCACCUGAACCUUCGGUUCAAGGUCACCGACCUGCAGCGGCACGUGUGGAGAGCGC